ACCUGACUGGCUCAAUCAGUAGAGCAUGUGACCCUUAAUCUUAGGAUCCUGAGUUCAAGUCCUAAGUUGGGUG
rnacentral:tRNA from 1 species